rnacentral:tRNA from 1 species
UGUAGCUCAGUGGUAGAGUGAUUGCCUUGCAUGCAUGAGACCCUGGGUUCUAUACCCAGUA